rnacentral:misc_RNA from 1 species
AACGCACAUUGCGCCCUUUGGUAUUCCGAGGGGCAUGCCUGUUCGAGCGUCAUUAUGACCAAUCAAGCCUGGCUUGGUGUUAGGGUACGCAGUUCUGCGGCCCCUGAAAUCAGUGGCAGUGCCUAUCUGGCUCUAAGCGUAGUAAUUUCUCCUCGCUAUAGGGUCCCCAGUAGAUGCUCGCCAGAAUCCCCCAACUAUUCACGGUUGACCUCGGAUCAGGUAGGGAUACCCGCUGAACUUAA